rnacentral:lncRNA from 1 species
CAGCCCCGGCCCCUUCCCCACCAGCCCCGAGGGCUUCGGUCCCGUCGGAUUGGGGGCGCUGGAGAGGGGGGAGCUUUCAGCGGCCCAGACCUCCGACGAGGCCUCUGCCGGCUCUCUCCGCUCCAAGUCGAUGAGGAAACUGAAGCUCAGUUGCUUACCUGAAUUGCUCAGAGCCACACACCUACAAAGCAGUGGAGCUAACCUACCUGACUUUCAGACCACCGCUGCUUCCUCCAGGUAUAAGGGAGGAGGGAGGGGCUGUCCGGCUUUUGAGUAAGGUGGGCAGAGUGCCCCCAGGCUUUGAAGAGAGGGUAAUGACCCGGUGGUUUUUGAAGGAGAAAUAAGAGAUCCUUCGGUAGCCAGAGAGCAGAAAUGGUGUGUACAGUCUCUGAUUUGCUUUAAAUUUUUUUUCUUUAAAUGUCUGAAAUAAUUGGAGAGCAAGUAGUUUGAGUAAUAUUCAA